rnacentral:lncRNA from 1 species
CAUGCUUAAUUAUUCUGUACAUACAUUUGAGGGAACAUUGAGAGGAAUUACGAGGGGUAGAUGAAUAAUUAAAUUGAUUCAGAAUUGUGAAAUGACUUUUUUUGUAAAUUGAUUUCAUUUCUUCUAUUUCAAAGACUUGUGAGUGGUAGUCUUGAUUAUACUCCUUUAUGAGUAGUUAAAUUGGUUCCGAGUUGUGAAAUG